UACGGGGGGAGCAAGCGUUGUUCGGAUUUACUGGGCGUAAAGGGCGCGUAGGCGGCCUCCGCAAGUCAAUUGUGAAAUCUCCGGGCUUAACUCGGAAAGGUCAACUGAUACUGCGGGGCUAGAGUGCGGAAGGGGCAACUGGAAUUCUUGGUGUAGCGGUGAAAUGCGUAGAUAUCAAGAGGAACACCUGAGGCGAAGGCGGGUUGCUAGGCUGAUACUGACGCUGAGGCGCGAAAGCUAGGGUAGCAAACGGG
rnacentral:rRNA from 1 species